rfam:Capsicum annuum cultivar Zunla-1 chromosome 4, whole genome shotgun sequence
UACCUAACCUAGACGAGGUUAAUGGGCGAUCAAUAAGACCCAUGGCCUAGGUUGGUAACCUCCAUUGCACUUUGGAGGGUGCCCACCUAAGGUCAACCCAAGUGUCGAACCUACAUCAUAAUUUGUGGUAGAGGGAGCCAGCAUUCGCGCGACCCCUAC